GAACAAAGUGCAAAAUGCUCAAGCUGAAGGCAGAAUUAUGCAGAAUUUUGUGGUUCACUCUCAGUCUGAUGCAGCUCGAGCUAUGUCGGCUGUGGCUGGAGGUGUAAUGUCUCAUUCUCCUCCUGACACUGUUCGGCCUAAGAAAAAAUGGGGAGACAUGUUGGACGAUGAAGACUCUUUGGAUGGAGACGUUUGUUUUUUCUCGGGUCCUCUGUGAUCCGGUCCUUUGUUGCGUGUGCUCUCAUGGUUUUUUGAUCUUUUUUUCUUUUUUCUUUUCUGCAGUUAGGGGUUUUUGUUUCUUUUUGAGCUCUCUUUCCUGAGGCUCACUCCUUUGUGUGCGCCUGUGCUUUCAAGGGUUUUCUGCUUUUCUUUUUUUCAAUAAACUUUCCAUUUCAGC
rnacentral:lncRNA from 1 species